UGUUUUAUUUUCUUUAAAUCAAGCAGGUUACAUUUCAUUCGUUUUUACACAAUCUGAUAUUUGGAGGCAUUUGCAAAUAUGCUCAUAAAUUACAUGAUUUGUAAUCCCAAAGAAUGAGGUGGUUAAUGAUCAAUAUUGGGAUCAACAGUGAUCACCCUACAAAUGUAGGCAUUACGUAUGCAGGCAGAAAAAGAAAAGUUCCCAUUAAGGUCUCAUGUGAAACACCACAGGUCUGAAAUACUCCCAUGAAAAUGGCACAAAAAUGAAUUUCACUCUCCAACCUUUUGCUAAAGAGACGUUGACAGGCCCACAGCGAGCCUGGAGCUCACGGGACAACAUUCACACAUUCUGCUUCAUGAAGAGGUCCGAUUAUCGUCAGACCAUAGACAUUACAUGUAAGGACACUGAACAUUUGGCCGGAUUACACAUAGAAAUGCAAUCCAAAACAAAAUGGGUAAAGAUAAAGCAUGUUUAUUGAUGCGGCAAACAAAGGUUCAAAUAUCCUCCAAAGCACUUCAAGCCCUCAAAGAAUGAAACUCAAAACGCAGAUGAGGUAAAAGAAGAAACUUCUAAAUUAAAGUGGAGCGACCCAGGGACAAGUCUGGUUUGGGUUAAAGAUUAUGGAUGGUUAACUUUGUGUAACGUGUUUGGACAAGCAAGUUUAGGUUUUAGGCAAGCGACUUCAGGUAUUAGGCAAGCGAGUUUAGCCAAGCGAGUACAG